rnacentral:rRNA from 1 species
UACGGGGGGGGCAAGCGUUGUUCGGAAUUACUGGGCGUAAAGGGCUCGUAGGCGGCCAACUAAGUCAGACGUGAAAUCCCUCAGCUUAACUGGGGAACUGCGUCUGAUACUGGAUGGCUUGGAUUUGGGAGAGGGAUGCGGAAUUCCAGGUGUAGCGGUGAAAUGCGUAGAUAUCUGGAGGAACACCGGUGGCGAAGGCGGCAUCCUGGACCAUAUUGACGCUGAGGAGCGAAAGCCAGGGGAGCAAACGGG